rnacentral:rRNA from 1 species
UGCCAGCAGCCGCGGUAAUACGAAGGGACCUAGCGUAGUUCGGAAUUACUGGGCUUAAAGAGUUCGUAGGUGGUUGAAAAAGUCAGAUGUGAAAUCCCAGAGCUUAACUCUGGAACUGCCAUCAAAACUUUUUAGCUAGAGUAUGAUAGAGGAAAGCAGAAUUUCUAGUGUAGAGGUGAAAUUCGUAGAUAUUAGAAAGAAUACCAAUUGCGAAGGCAGCUUUCUGGAUCAUUACUGACGCUGAGGAACGAAAGCAUGGGUAGCGAAGAGGAUUAGAUA